rnacentral:rRNA from 1 species
CCUACGGGUGGCUGCAGUGGGGAAUAUUGGACAACGGGGGCAACCCUGAUCCAGCCAUGCCGCGUGUGUGAAGAAGGCCCUCGGGUUGUAAAGCACUUUCAGUGAGGAAGAACGCCUGGUGGUUAAUACCCAUCAGGAAAGACAUCACUCACAGAAGAAGCACCGGCUAACUCCGUGCCAGCAGCCGCGGUAAUACGGAGGGUGCGAGCGUUAAUCGGAAUUACUGGGCGUAAAGCGCGCGUAGGUGGCUUGAUAAGCCGGUUGUGAAAGCCCCGGGCUCAACCUGGGAACGGCAUCCGGAACUGUCAAGCUAGAGUGCAGGAGAGGAAGGUAGAAUUCCCGGUGUAGCGGUGAAAUGCGUAGAGAUCGGGAGGAAUACCAGUGGCGAAGGCGGCCUUCUGGACUGACACUGACACUGAGGUGCGAAAGCGUGGGUAGCAAACAGGAUUAGAUACCCGAGUAGUC